CAAUAGGCCCUUUUCAGGGCCACUAGGUACAACAUAUAGUACCUCA
rfam:Operophtera brumata OBRT01_Sc13612, whole genome shotgun sequence.